rnacentral:rRNA from 1 species
GUCUGCAACCCGACUACAUGAAGCUGGAAUCGCUAGUAAUCGCGGAUCAGAAUGCCGCGGUGAAUACGUUCCCGGGUCUUGUACACACCGCCCGUCACACCAUGGGAGUCGGAAAUGCCCGAAGUCUGUGACCUAACCGUAAGGAAGGAGCAGCCGAAGGCAGGUCGGAUGACUGGGGUGAAGUCGUAACAAGGUACC